CUAUGGGAGGCACCAGUGGGGAAUAUUGCACAAUGGAGGAAACUCUGAUGCAGCAACGCCGCGUGGAGGAUGACACUUUUCGGAGCGUAAACUCCUUUUAUAUAGGAAGAAGAUGACGGUACUAUAUGAAUAAGCGCCGGCUAACUCCGUGCCAGCAGCCGCGGUAAUACGGAGGGCGCAAGCGUUACUCGGAAUCACUGGGCGUAAAGAGCGUGUAGGCGGAUUAAAAAGUCAGAAGUGAAAUCCUAUAGCUUAACUAUAGAACUGCUUCUGAAACUCUUAAUCUAGAAUAUGGGAGAGGUAGAUGGAAUUUCUGGUGUAGGGGUAAAAUCCGUAGAGAUCAGAAGGAAUACCGAUCGCGAAGGCGAUCUACUAGAACAUUAUUGACGCUGAGACGCGAAAGCGUGGGGAGCAAACAGGAUUAGAUACCCUCGUAGUC
rnacentral:rRNA from 1 species